rnacentral:rRNA from 1 species
UACGUAGGGUGCGAGCGUUGUCCGGAGUUACUGGGCGUAAAGGGUGUGUAGGCGGUUUUCUAAGUUUGGUGUGAAAUCUCCCGGCUUAACCGGGAGGGUGCGCCGAAAACUGGGAGACUAGAGUGCGGGAUGGGAGAGUAGAAUUCCUGGUGUAGCGGUGAAAUGCGUAGAUAUCAGGAGGAAUACCGGUGGUGUAGACGGCUCUCUGGACCGCAACUGACGCUGAGACACGAAAGCGUGGGUAGCAAACAGG